ensembl:lncRNA novel transcript
CAGCCUGAGCCACGGCCGCGUCGUCUACAGCCCCGGGGAGCCGUUGGCUGGGACCGUGCGCGUGCGCCUGGGGGCACCGCUGCCGUUCCGAGGCAGUUCCGGCGAGGGGGGAGCCUCAGCAGGAUUGCUGUGUGAAAACCGAGC